rnacentral:rRNA from 1 species
UACGUAGGGGGCUAGCGUUGUCCGGAAUCAUUGGGCGUAAAGCGCGUGUAGGCGGCCCGGUAAGUCCGCUGUGAAAGUCGGGGGCUCAACCCUCGGAUGCCGGUGGAUACUGUCGGGCUAGAGUACGGAAGAGGCGAGUGGAAUUCCUGGUGUAGCGGUGAAAUGCGUAGAGAUGUGGAGGAACACCGGUGGCGAAGGCGGGUCUCUGGGACGGUACUGACGCUGAGACGCGAAAGCGUGGGGAGCGAACAGG